GUAAGGAAUAUUGGGCAAUGGAGGCAACUCUGACCCAGCCAUGCCGCGUGAAGGAUUGACGGCUCUCUGGGUUGUAAACUUCUUUUGUACGGGAAUAACCCUCCGAACGUGUUCGGAGCUGAAGGUACCGUAAGAAUAAGGAUCGGCUAACUCCGUGCCAGCAGCCGCGGUAAUACGGAGGAUCCAAGCGUUAUCCGGAUUUACUGGGUUUAAAGGGUGCCUAGGCGGAUUGAUAAGUCAGUGGUGAAAUCCUGCAGCUUAACUGCAGAACUGCCAUUGAUACUGCCAGUCUGGAGUAUGGUUGAGGUAGCUGGAAUGUGUCAUGUAGCGGUGAAAGGCUUAGAGAUGACACAGAACACCGACGGCGAAGGCAGGUUACCAACCCAUUACUGACGCUGAGGCACGGAAGCGUGGGGAUCACACAGGAUUAGAAACCCGAGUAGUCC
rnacentral:rRNA from 1 species